GGUGCCGGAUAGCUCACUCGGUUAAAGCAUCGCAUUGCGACUAUCAUGGCGCGGGUUCGAGCCCCGGUCGUACCA